UACGGGGGGAGCAAGCGUUGUUCGGAUUUACUGGGCGUAAAGGGCGCGUAGGCGGCCUGUGCAAGUCAGUUGUGAAAUCUCCGGGCUUAACUCGGAACGGUCAACUGAUACUGCUCGGCUAGAGUGCAGAAGGGGCAACUGGAAUUCUUGGUGUAGCGGUGGAAUGCGUAGAUAUCAAGAGGAACACCUGCGGCGAAGGCGGGUUGCUGGGCUGACACUGACGCUGAGGCGCGAAAGCUAGGGGAGCGAACGGG
rnacentral:rRNA from 1 species